CAAGAAGAAGAAUCUGA
rnacentral:sRNA from 1 species